UACGUAGGGUGCGAGCGUUAAUCGGAAUUACUGGGCGUAAAGUGUGCGCAGGCGGCCGCGCAAGUCGAGUGUGAAAGCCCCGGGCUUAACUUGGGAAUUGCGCUCGAAACUACGUGGCUGGAGUGUGGCAGAGGAAGGUGGAAUUCCAGGUGUAGCGGUGAAAUGCGUAGAGAUCUGGAGGAACACCGAUGGCGAAGGCAGCCUUCUGGGCCAACACUGACGCUCAUGCACGAAGGCGUGGGGAGCAAACAGG
rnacentral:rRNA from 1 species